UACGAAGGGGGCUAGCGUUGUUCGGAAUCACUGGGCGUAAAGCGCACGUAGGCGGAUCUUUAAGUCAGGGGUGAAAUCCCGAGGCUCAACCUCGGAACUGCCUUUGAUACUGGGGAUCUCGAGUCCGGGAGAGGUGAGUGGAACUGCGAGUGUAGAGGUGAAAUUCGUAGAUAUUCGCAGGAACACCAGUGGCGAAGGCGGCUCACUGGCCCGGAACUGACGCUGAGGUGCGAAAGCGUGGGGAGCAAACAGG
rnacentral:rRNA from 1 species